rnacentral:rRNA from 1 species
UGGGGAAUUUUGGACAAUGGGCGAAAGCCUGAUCCAGCAAUGCCGCGUGUGUGAAGAAGGCCUUCGGGUUGUAAAGCACUUUUGUCCGGAAAGAAAUCCUUGGCUCUAAUACAGUCGGGGGAUGACGGUACCGGAAGAAUAAGCACCGGCUAACUACGUGCCAGCAGCCGCGGUAAUACGUAGGGUGCAAGCGUUAAUCGGAAUUACUGGGCGUAAAGCGUGCGCAGGCGGUUUGCUAAGACCGAUGUGAAAUCCCCGGGCUCAACCUGGGAACUGCAUUGGUGACUGGCAGGCUAGAGUAUGGCAGAGGGGGGUAGAAUUCCACGUGUAGCAGUGANUGCGUAGAGAUGUGGAGGAAUACCGAUGGCGAAGGCAGCCCCCUGGGCCAAUACUGACGCUCAUGCACGAAAGCGUGGGGAGCAAACAGGAUUAGAUACCCUGGUAGUCCACGCCCUAAACGAUGUCAACUAGUUGUUGGGGAUUCAUUUCCUUAGUAACGUAGCUAACGCGUGAAGUUGACCGCCUGGGGGAGUACGGUCGCAAGAUUAAAACUCAAA